AAUGAAUGAGGUGGAUUGUUCAGUGUAUAUUAAUUAUUUAUUUUCAUUUUACUUAAAAUAUAUGUUUUUGUUAAGUUAACAUAUGUUUUUCUAAUCAAGUCUACGUAAUUGUGUCUAUUAUUCAACGUACAUAAUACUAAUGUGUUACUUGAUCGCAUAACAUUUAAGUUAAGUCAAUUAGGAUCGAUAUACCUUGUAUAUCCACAAGGUGGCAGUAAUGCAAAAACAGUUGUAAUGAAACCGCGCAGAACAAGAAGGUUUCACGGCUUGUGCCUGCUCAUGCGCAAGACUUCAAAUUUAACUGAAAAAGGCUGUUUUGGCGCCAAGCUGCUGUUUCUUUGAGAGAUCCUGCCUUUACCUGCUCCCUCCUAUACUGAUGUGGUGUAUGUGGUACUGCUGAGCUUGUAUGUGGUGGAAGCAGAAUAUGUGAGGAUUACUACUGCUGCACAUGUUCCAAGGCUUUUUACACAACUUGACCAAUACACUGACCAGCUCAUAAAAGUCUUCAAGAAAAAAGGAGGCGUUGCAGGGAAGAAAAUUAGACAAACUUUGGCCCCAGCCACACAGGUGCGUUAUUCUGUUGGUAGCAAAAUAUUAUGGCUAAUAAGAUCAUUUUCAAAUUUAAACAGCUAGUGUAUGGUAGCUGCACAGUGCACUUACAUUUAUAUUAAGCAAGACAAAGUUUGGUACUCAAAACGUUGGAAAAUUUAAAUUACCUAAACAUAUGUAAAAUCUGAUCCCUUGAUUUAGGUUAAACCAGAAGUGAAUGUUUUUAUGUUAUGUUUUGAAUGCAAAAAAGAUGAUGUAUUAGUUUGUCUUUACCUCCAUUAUGGACAUAUAUAAUGUGGUGGAAACCCUGCCCAACAGGUUAACUAUUCAUGUCCAUGUGAUGAUUAGUUGGUCUUGUGUACAUGUCUAUCUGUGCAGUGGAUAUGUCAUUCAUUUUGCGUAUAAUGUGAGUUUCUGUCAUCCUAAAGUAUAUCUGUUUUCUCUUCCUGUAUCUCUGCCACUCUCUACAGAAG